rnacentral:rRNA from 1 species
CCUACGGGAGGCAGCAGUGAGGAAUAUUGGUCAAUGGGCGAGAGCCUGAACCAGCCAAGUCGCGUGAAGGAUGAAGGAUCUAUGGUUUGUAAACUUCUUUUAUAUGGGAAUAAAGUGAGGAACGUGUUCCUUUUUGUAUGUACCAUAUGAAUAAGCAUCGGCUAACUCCGUGCCAGCAGCCGCGGUAAUACGGAGGAUGCGAGCGUUAUCCGGAUUUAUUGGGUUUAAAGGGUGCGCAGGCGGGCUGUUAAGCCGGCGGUAAAAAUUCAGGGCUCAACCCUGUCGAGCCGUCGGAACUGGCAGUCUUGAGUGGGCGAGAAGUAUGCGGAAUGCGUGGUGUAGCGGUGAAAUGCAUAGAUAUCACGCAGAACGCCGAUUGCGAAGGCAGCAUACCGGCGCCCAACUGACGCUGAGGCACGAAAGCGUGGGGAUCGAACAGGAUUAGAUACCCCUGUAGUC